UACGUAGGGUGCAAGCGUUGUCCGGAAUUAUUGGGCGUAAAGAGCUCGUAGGCGGUUUGUUGCGUCGGCUGUGAAAACCUGAGGCUCAACCUCAGGCCUGCAGUCGAUACGAGCAGACUAGAGUGUUGCAGGGGAGACUGGAAUUCCUGGUGUAGCGGUGAAAUGCGCAGAUAUCAGGAAGAACACCCGUGGCGAAGGCGGCUUUCUGGGACGGUACUGACGCUGAGACGCGAAAGCGUGGGGAGCGAACAGG
rnacentral:rRNA from 1 species